AACGAACGCUGGCGGCGUGCUUAACACAUGCAAGUCGAACGCGAACGGUUUCUUCGGAGACCUAGUAGAGUGGCGCACGGGUGAGUAACGCGUAAAUAAUCUACCCUGAUGUCUGGGAUAACCAGCCGAAAGGCUGCCUAAUACCGGCUAUAUGCUUCCCUGUUGGGGGAAUCAGGAAAGGUGGCCUCUAUUUAUAAGCUAUCGCAUGAGGAUGAGUUUGCGUACCAUUAGCUAGUUGGUGGGGUAAUGGCCUACCAAGGCGACGAUGGUUAGCGGGUCUGAGAGGAUGAUCCGUCACACUGGCACUGAAACACGGGCCAGACUCCUACGGGAGGCAGCAGUGAGGAAUAUUGCGCAAUGGGGGAAACCCUGACGCAGCGACGCCGCGUGAGUGAGGAAGGCCUUCGGGUCGUAAAGCUCUGUCAGUAG
rnacentral:rRNA from 1 species